UUCAGGUUGUUGGUAAGGCUCUCCUUAGGAUUCAUGCGGAAGGUCAGCGAAAGAGUGUAAUAACGCCGAUGUCAAAACUGUGUUGUGGAGCAUGAUUCAGAGCUACCUUUAGCAAUUCUGAACCAAAAGGAAGUAUUUUCUGUUGAUCUCUUUUUUUAAGUAAAAUGCUUUUAACAAAUUUACAGUAUGUGCUCUAAAAUGUGUGUGUUUUCAUUUCACCAGGCUGGUAAUCGGAUUACAUAUAUACAGACAAGAUGAUGAGGCAUUCCGAUAAUAGAUUUGUUUGAGAUGGUUAUUGUCUCAGCUAGGAAGCUUGGAUUCUUUCAAAUGUCACAUCCUCUAUAUGAUGUGGUUGCAAGUGAGACGCUAUUCGCUGUAUAUGUGAUAGGAGAAUCCUUUUGGUGGUAUAUUGCUACCAUCAACUGCAGAGUCAAAACCUCAAAGGUGGAUCUAAGUGUCAAGCUAAUGCUUCCUCUAUAUCAAGCUCUAAUGCUCCAAGGCAGGACAGUUCGGCAGCAACCUCCACGUCGAUGUCUCACCAUCUAUUUUCCGUCUCGAUCCUUCUUCAUUCGCGACGGUUUCGCUCAUAAUGGCUUCCAGUCAACAGGUCAAUUAAAAAGGCUACAUUUGUUCGGGUCGAAAUGGGUCGAUUAUUGAAUGUUGUUUUGGUUCAGCUAAAAAAUGAAUCGUUUCAACUCAUUUAAAUGUCACAUUUCCAAAGCGAUCCGUUUUUUACCUGAACUAAGCUAUCCGUUUUUGAAACUGGAUGUACUGUUGUUGGUGGAGGAAACAUGGUUGGAAGUUUUUUCUUUAUAUAGUUCUACCCCAUAUGACUAGCUAAAAGCUAUCAUCAUUGGUAAGGUGUUUAAUUGAAUUUGUUUAAAAUUAGAUAUGUACUUUUAGUUGUUUGCCUAAAUGUUUGGAUGAUGAAGUACACUUGGGUUGAAGCGACCUGGUUUUUUAGAGAAAGGGGUGACUCCGGUUCAGAUGCGAGUUCAGAGCAUGGUAAAGAUGAAGGUGAGUAGAUCGCUUAAGUUGACGAGGGGCGCUUCAAUUCGCACAAGGAAACUGGCAAGGGACAUGCUGGUCUUUUGGAAGAGAAUCGAUAAAGAAAUGGCUGAAAUAAGGAAAAAGGAAUAAAAAGAAGCUGCGGAAGCUUUGAAACGUGAACAGGAGCUUCGGCGCAGUGAGCGAGCGAGCGCAGCAAGCGCAGCCGCAGCGGCGUGGCGAGCGCAGCCGCGACAAGCGUAGCAGCAUGGUUAACAAAAAUGGCAAUAUUCGUGUAUGGGACUUGACUGCAAGAAUGUAAGUUCAAUAUUCGUGUAUGGGACUUGACUGCAUGGUUAACGAAAGGCUAUGUUAAAGCUUGGAAUGAAGCCCAUUCUUGGAGUCGGUCGUGUUACGGUUACAAAGAGCAAGAAUGUUCAAGAUCUAGACAACUCAUCACAAACGGUUUACGAUUCCUGGGUAAAAACUGCCAAUAUCCCGAGUUUAUAAAUCACUCCAAACAAAUAUCAAUUGAGAGGUAUGGGUGGUGGUUAUCCAAUUCCCAUUGAACCACAAGGAUCAACAAACCCACCUCUGGUGUCAAACCCACCUCCGGUGUCAAACCCACCUCCGGUGUCAAACCCACUUCCGGUGUCAAACCCACCUCCGGUGGCAAACCCUCAUCCGGUGACAAACCUUGAACACGAUGAUCCAUUUGGUUGGACGGAUGAAGAGUUGAAUUGGGCGUAUGACUAUAUAUUCGCUCAACUACAAUUUGGUGGACUACAAAUUGAGGAGGGGCAUCAUCGUCCGGUGGUAAACACUCCUAUACUGCCUAUGCAUCCUCCACCUUCAAACCCCCCUUAUGUGGAAAACUACAGUCAAACACAAGAACUACCGAGCUGGGCUGAAGGGUACGAAACUGACCCUGGGGCGGUUUACGAACCACCAUUGGAUGAAGAAAUGGUUUGGGAACCUUAGAACAAUUUUGAUGAUGACUGUAGUUUUUUUUUCUCGAAUUAGUUUGAAUCUUAAUUAUGUAAGUUUUAAUUAUGUAUUACUUUAAAUUUAAAUUUGUUGUUGUUUAAUUUUAAUCAUGUUUUAGUUUAAAUUUAAGUUUCUGGAGUUUUUAUUUUUUUUAGUUAACUAACAUUAAACACUUAAUAGGAUAUGUCUGAUCAUUUUUCCGUUGAAGAAUUUUCAUCAUUGACAAAUGAUAGAGCAUGGUAUAAUAUAAUCUUUGUUAAGGUGGAGUUUAUUUGGCAUGACGUCGAUGAAAAGAGAUUAGUGGUUAUUUUUCUUGAUCAACACGUAAGAACAUUAUUUUAAUUUACUUUGUGUUAUACGAGUAAGCGUUUUUCCACCACUAAAUUUCUUUUCUUUUUAGAGACAAAAAAUUGUUGCGUUCGUACCACAACAUUUGAUACACAUAUAUAAUGAUACGGCAUUGAUGGGUGGUUUUUUUUCCUUAAAUCAUUUCCAAAUUGAGAAUCUCAAAUAUCAUGAGUACCCAAAGUACCAGAAUUACGUGUUAGUUUGGUCCGAGAAAAAAAUUGUCAUCAACGAAUAUACAAAGCUUUCUUCACUUAUGCUUACGAUUCCAAGGGGUGCUUCUUUAUAUCCAUUGGUCCCUUCCAUUAUAGAAUUGAAGCAUGACAGGAGACCUCAAAAAAUUAUUGUUGAUGUGGUUGGGAGAAUAAUAGAAGGCAAACGUGAUCGAUGUUGUUUUGAACUUUCUCUUCGAGAUAAGACUUGUCACACAAUACAAAUGUUUUUGUCCGCCCUGAAGCCUUCCGAUGUUAUACAUACCAUUCGAGCCGUGCAACAAAAGUCUAUCAUAUAUGUAUCGCGUGUCAAGUUGGUUCAUCUACCAGAUAUUAAUAUUUUGAAGUCUACGGAGUUGAGUACGAUUACGUACGAACCAGAUAUGGUCGAGGCACGGGAUAUUUAAAUUAUGGAUCGUUAUCCAAGUUUGUGUUUAAGUUAGAAACAUUUGGUGUUGUUAUAUGUUUAGUUGUUGAAUAUUAAAGUCUCUCUUGAUGUUUAGUGUUUUGCUUUUUUCCCCUCAUAUUGAAGUAAUUGUAGAAGUAUAUUUUACUU